rnacentral:rRNA from 1 species
GACGAACGCUGGCGGCGUGCUUAACACAUGCAAGUCGAACGGAAAGGCCCUGCUUUUGUGGGGUGCUCGAGUGGCGAACGGGUGAGUAACACGUGAGUAACCUGCCCUUGACUUUGGGAUAACUUCAGGAAACUGGGGCUAAUACCGGAUAGGAGCUCCUGCUGCAUGGUGGGGGUUGGAAAGUUUCGGCGGUUGGGGAUGGACUCGCGGCUUAUCAGCUUGUUGGUGGGGUAGUGGCUUACCAAGGCUUUGACGGGUAGCCGGCCUGAGAGGGUGACCGGCCACAUUGGGACUGCGAUACGGCCCAGACUCCUACGGGCGGCAGCAGUGGGGAAUAUUGCACAAUGGGCGGAAGCCUGAUGCAGCAACGCCGCGUGCGGGAUGACGGCCUUCGGGUUGUAAACCGAUUUCGCCUGUGACGAAGCGUGAGUGACGGUAAUGGGUAAAGAAGCACCGGCUAACUACGUG